rnacentral:rRNA from 1 species
CUCCUGUUUAACAAAAACAUCUCUUCUUGAAUAUAAUUUGAUGUAUGGCCUGCCCACUGAAUAUUGAAGGGCCGCGGUAUUUUGACCGUGCAAAGGUAGCAUAAUCAUUAGUCUUUUAAUUGUGGACUGGAAUGAAUGGUUUGACGAGGUGUUAACUGUCUUUAAUUUUUUUCAUUGAAUUUAAAUUUUAGGUUAAAAUGCCUAAAUGUUUUUUUGGGACGAGAAGACCCUAUAGAGUUUUAUAUAUUUUUGCUUUUUUGUAUGAUAAAUUUUAAUGUAAAAAUUUAUUUUGUUGGGGUGAUGAGAAGAUUAAAUUAACUCUUUUUGUUUUUUUAUAUUUAUUUAUAUAUAUUUGAUCCAUUUUUAUUGAUUAUAAGACUAAAUUACCUUAGGGAUAACAGCGUAA